CGCAUCAGGGGAAGCGGUAAAGAAAAGACAUGACCCAACUGCGUGUCAGAGGAUCAAAGACUCCAACGAACCAGGAAACUGUCUUCAAGGCUGUUCAUUGCUCCAUGUGGCUUGUCACAUCGGUGACUCUGUCUUGCUUGAACUGUUGCUGCAGUUUGGUGCUGACCCAAACAUGAGAGAUUACCACGGAAGGACUCCGUUACACCACUGCAUCUCUUCAGGGAACCACAAGUUUGCAAAGAUUCUACUCCGAAGAGGUGCACGUCCAUCGAUAGAGGACGAUGGAGGACUAAGCGUGUUGGAGAGAGCAAUGGAAAUGGGAGCCAUAACCGAUGAAGAGCUCUUUCUUCUCUUAGCCGAAUGCGCUUAAACCAACAUUGGCACAUGUUCCAUAAGAGAAACACCAAAAUUCAAAACCAUGAGAAUGAUUCAGCUUGCUACAACUUCACAAAUUCAUUUUGUUCAGGAAUGUAAAAGUUAUGAAUUGGGAAAAUAGACCAUAAAACAUAGAAAAGGAUAAAAAGUACUACAACAACUCAUUUGUUUGUUCAAGAAACAUCAUAUGCUUUUGUUUUUAUUAAUGGAGUUUAUGCAACAAAAUAAUGAUAAUGUCUGUUUUCAUGUCAAA